rnacentral:tRNA from 1 species
GGGCCUGUAGCUCAAUUGGCUAGAGCGUCACAUUCGCAUUGUGGAGGCUGUCGGUUCGAUUCCGAUCAGGUCCA